rnacentral:piRNA from 1 species
UNUGCAGCUAGAGCCAUGAGUCCCACCGU